rnacentral:rRNA from 1 species
GACGAACGCUGGCGGCGUGCCUAAUACAUGCAAGUAGAACGCUGAAGAGAGGAGCUUGCUCUUCUUGGAUGAGUUGCGAACGGGUGAGUAACGCGUAGGUAACCUGCCUUGUAGCGGGGGAUAACUAUUGGAAACGAUAGCUAAUACCGCAUAACAAUGGAUGACCCAUGUCAUUUAUUUGAAAGGGGCAAAUGCUCCACUACAAGAUGGACCUGCGUUGUAUUAGCUAGUAGGUGAGGUAACGGCUCACCUAGGCGACGAUACAUAGCCGACCUGAGAGGGUGGUCGGCCACACUGGGACUGAGACACGGCCCAGACUCCUACGGGAGGCAGCAGUAGGGAAUCUUCGGCAAUGGGGGCAACCCUGACCGAGCAACGCCGCGUGAGUGAAGAAGGUUUUCGGAUCGUAAAGCUCUGUUGUAAGUCAAGAACGAGUGUGAGAGUGGAAAGUUCACACUGUGACGGUAGCUUACCAGAAAGGGACGGCUAACUACGUG